rnacentral:rRNA from 1 species
UACGGAGGGUGCGAGCGUUGUUCGGAAUUACUGGGCGUAAAGAGUGCGUAGGCGGUUCAGCAAGUUGGAAGUGAAAUCCCGGGGCUCAACCUCGGAAUUGCUUUCAAAACUGCUGAUCUAGAGUAUGGUAGGGGAUAGUGGAAUUCCUAGUGUAGGGGUGAAAUCCGUAGAUAUUAGGAGGAACACCAGAGGCGAAGGCGACUAUCUGGGCCAUUACUGACGCUAAGGUCCGAAAGCGUGGGGAGCAAACAGG